rnacentral:lncRNA from 1 species
GUUAAAUUCAGUCACUUAAUUAAAGCAUUGUCUGGCGUGUUUUCUCACUGUAAAAAUUAUAUGUCAUUUUUAAGACUUUAUUUUUGGCCAGUAGGCAAAGAAACUGCAACCACAGGCUUCCAACACUAAGAUGCUCAACCGAAGAAGCCACGCUCUUAAGAGAGCAGGAAAAAACUGGUUUCGUUUUGAGACACAGUCUCACUGUCUUGCUCUGUCGUCCAGGCUGGACUGCAGUGGCGUGAUCUGGGCUCACGGCAACCUCCGCCUCCUGGGUUCAAGCAAUUCUCCUGCCUCAGCUUCCUGAGUAGCUGGGACUACAGGCCCAUGCCCCCAUGCCCUGGUAAUUUUUUGUAUUUUAGUAGGACAGGGUUUCACCAUGUUGCCCGGGCUGGUAUCGAACCCCUGAGCUCAGGCAAUCCGCCCACCUUGGCCUCCCAAAGUGUUGGGAUUACUGGCAUGAGCCACCGCACCCGGCCUACACUCUUUAUUUUAAAAAGUACAAUUAAGUUAUUAUUGACUAUGGGCACCAUGUUGUGCUAUCAAAUAGUAGGUCAUGUUUGUUCUUUCAAACUAUUUUUUGUAACAAUUAACCAUAUCCACCUACCCUUCCCAGACUCUGGUAACCAUCCUUCUACUCUCUAUGUCCAUGAGUUCAAUUGUUUUAAUUUUUAGGUCCUAUAAAUAAGUGAGAACAUGUGAUGCUUGUCUUUCUUUGUCUGGCUUAUUUCACUUAAAAUAGUGAUCUCCAGUUCCAUUCGUGUUGUUGCAAAUGACUGGAUCUCAUUCUUUUUUAUGGUCAAAUAGUACUCCAUUGUGUAUAUGUACCACAUUUUCUUGUGGAGAAAAAGGGAACCUUUAUACAUUACGUAUAGGGAACAUAAAUGUAAUGUUAUGUAAAUUAGUACUUUGCAUUUCCACUAAGAGUGUACAACUGACUGCAGAACAGUUUGAAGGUUCCUCAAAAAACUAAAAAUUGAGCUACCAUAUGAUCCUGCAAUUUCACUGCUGGGUAUAUACCCAAAAGAAAGGAAGUCAGUAUAUUGAAGAGAUAUCUGCACUCCUAUGUCUGUUGCAUCACUGUUUACAACAGUUAAGAUUUGGAAACAAUCCAGAUGUCCUUCACCAGAAUUUAUUUGGUAACAAUAUCAAUAGUGCUUUUGAAAGGAAGUUUUUCAAGAUUAAGG